UUGCUCUUCUAUCAGCGGAGUUGAAUAAACUAAAUAAAAAUGAACUCAUAGACAUAAUUUUGACUUUCAAAUUGCCAACGACGUUGAAUAAUGUGCAACUAAUUAAGUACGUCAGUAAAUUUGCGGGUAGUGAUGUGAAACAAGUCAGUGAUGUUGAUAACCUCCAUAACACCAGUGAUAAUGAAAUCUGCAUCCAAUAUGAAUAACUUGUCAAAGAUCAUAGUACUUUAAAAAAGGAGCUGGAUUGUGUAAGUAAACUGACAUUCCAUUUGGAAAAAAAGAACUCAAGAGAAAGAGAAUCUCAUUUUACAUUUGAAACAGUUUAAUAAUAACGAUAAAAUCUUUGUAUAUAGACCAGAUACAAUUAUAAAAUGGUACCGAUAACGGCAUCUAUUGACAACGACUUGAACUCCACAAAUUCUUCCAAACCAGAAUCCAGUCUUGUGAAAAAGUCCGUAGUGAGACCACAAAAAACUUGCAGUGCAGCCUUGAGAAGUAAUAAAGUAGACACAGCGCAAAAACAUGGCAAGUACACAGAAAACAAAAACGCAAGUGGGGACUCCAAACGGAAUCCCCCAAGUAAAAACCAUAAACACAAAUAUAGAUCAAUAUUUGGUAGUAAUGACAGAACUGAAUUCAAAACAGUUCCGAGAAUAGGAUAUCUAUAUGUCUCAUGGGUUGCAGCUGACAUGACUGCAAACGAUCUUCUUGCAGCACUUAAGGAAACUGCACCUGGCAUUGCCUUCGUAUGCGAAGAAUGGAAUAGAACCGAUUGUGCAUCAACAUACAAAGUGUCAUUUCCUCUCGAUAAAUUAAAUGACGUUUACCAUCCAGACAUAUGGCCAAGAGGUGCGGCAAUUAGACGAUUCAGAUUCAAAGAACAUUUUCAGAAAAUCAGUGUCUCAACAGAAACUUCUUAGUUGAUUCAAAAUAUGAUAUAGAGUAUGAACAAAACUUUAAUGAUAUAUUCAAUCUUGUGAAUCGCGAUAGCUCGAACAUUGGCAGAGUAAGCAAAAUCUCAAAAGUAUGAACCUUGAGGGAUAUUUUCUCGCUAAUUCCUUUUGCAGAAAACUAUUACGCAAUGGAGGAUGUGCUAUUUUCGUUAAAAAAUCAAUCUAAAUGAAGCCUUUAGAAUGUCAACAAUUCAAUAGUGAAUUAAAUUCUGAAUUUUUUGCA